UGCAUCUAUUUUUGGAACCACAGAUUUCGCUCUUAGAAGGCCAUAUUCCGUUGAUUCAAAACUUUUUUUUAUGUGCAGCCUGCAUUUAUUUUUGGAAGCAUAAACGAAAGGAUCACAUAUGUAUGUCUGUUUGCUAAUUAAUACCUUUUCCUGCAAAUACACAUACACCACUUGGAUGUAGAUACCCAUUCUGCCUUGCUUUACAUGUUAAUUAACUUGAUUGGGUAAAUGUUUACUGCAUUGAUCGACCGGUAUCUCAAAGUACAAUCAGUAAGUGACUGAAGCUAAUUCAUUAGCUUUUUAUGUCUAUAUAUGAUCAUAAAAAUAUCUGUAGAGUGCAUCAGACAAGCAAAAAGUAUAUGGCAAGUGAUAGCACAUUUCUUAGGGAAGGGAUUUAUGAGUUCAAUGUCAAAAUCCUCUCUAUCAGUUGCCUCGCAUUUUUAACUUACCUAGGUUGCUUCCCUAUUUUUUGCUACAUAAGAACUAUAUGUAUGUCACCACAUCAGAGUUAUUUAUAUUCACAUGUUAUAUUCUAAAUCCAUAUGUUGUUGAGAUGUGUUCUUUAAUUGAUCUCUUCAUCUCUAUGCAGAGUAUCCUAUCAUAACAUUAACAAUGUUAGAUCAUACUUUUAGUGGGUGUUGCAUGAAGUUAUUAUUAUCAAAGCUGUUGAAGGUCGAAAAAGACAUGGAUGGAUUGGAUCCAUCACGGAAAGCUGAUUUCCUGUUAAUAUCUGAGACGAACGUAAAUUUCUUUUGAAGGUACAUUUCAAUUUAGUUUGUGCAUCAACUGUUCAAUGGGAAUGCUUUGCUAGACAUAUCCUAACCGCUACGAUGCAAAGGUAAAGCAAUAUCAUGAGUCCAUUUUUUUUUAUAUUUUGUCUUUCAGUUGGUUUGCUUUUACAUGUCUGUGCUCAGAUAGAUUAUUUCACUGUUUAGUUCACCAGUCUAUUUUACACAUGUUUUUUUCAUUAUUUGUGAAAGCACACUUUUAAAUCCUAAAAGUUGUGCAGUCGAUCUGUUUCGUCAAACUGUAGUGUAGCCUGCUGCCACUGUGCUUUUACAAGCUCUUUGUUUCCGCGUUGUAUAUUUUGCCGGCUACUUAAAAGGAACAGGGAAGAAAAAAAUGGAACCUAACCUGAAGAAGUAUAUAUGCAUUGUAGAACUAUAAGGCUUAUGUUAUUGCAUCCAUACUUUGGUUAAGUGAUUAUGCAUGCUUUCGCUCAUAAACUUUGCCACGUGGCCACAUGGUAGCAGCACUUUGUACUACUCCACUCCAAAAAAGAUAGAACUUUUGGUAGAAAAAUUGGUUGCAUGUGUUUAGAAUUGUGAUGCCAAGCGAAAAUAUUAUCUCUCUAUAUAAGUGGUUGAUACUAUACUGUUUUAGCUGUACUAACAUUACUAUUAAAACUUUCUACUACCUUUGUCCCAAAAUGUAAAAACUUCUGGCCCUAUAUCUUGAAAGGUAUGUUUAGGUACACUGCUCAAAAUUGCGAUAUAUUUUGGGACGGAGGUAGUAUACUUUUUUUUUAGGUUUACCGAUGUCACUAACCGCACGUAACGGAGGAUUGUUGUUGACUAGGGCACUUGCAUGUUGCACUUAAAAAACAUCAUUUUCUAUCUGUUCAUUUUAGCUUUGCAUAUGUUUAAUAUGGACCACCAGUAGGCAUUUAGGUCUUAUGUUUUUAGCAUCCAAUAGUCCUAUGUGAUUCUAGCGUAUAGAGAAAAAAAGGGGUAGCAUUGAAACCUCUGUAAACUCAUUGUAAUUGACAUGUAAUUUGCCCCUUUUUUCUAUUUAUUCAAACUUCCGAUA